rnacentral:rRNA from 1 species
GGCGAACGGGUGAGUAACACGUGAGUAACCUGCCCCUGACUCUGGGAUAAGCGUUGGAACCGACGUCUAAUACUGGAUAUGAUCACUGGCCGCAUGGUCUGGUGGUGGAAAGAUUUUUUGGUUGGGGAUGGACUCGCGGCCUAUCAGCUUGUUGGUGAGGUAAUGGCUCACCAAGGCGACGACGGGUAGCCGGCCUGAGAGGGUGACCGGCCACACUGGGACUGAGACACGGCCCAGACUCCUACGGGAGGCAGCAGUGGGGAAUAUUGCACAAUGGGCGAAAGCCUGAUGCAGCAACGCCGCGUGAGGGAUGACGGCCUUCGGGUUGUAAACCUCUUUUAGUAGGGAAGAAGCGAAAGUGACGGUACCUGCAGAAAAAGCACCGGCUAACUACGUGCCAGCAGCCGCGGUAAUACGUAGGGUGCAAGCGUUGUCCGGAAUUAUUGGGCGUAAAGAGCUCGUAGGCGGUUUGUCGCGUCUGCUGUGAAAUCCCGAGGCUCAACCUCGGGCUUGCAGUGGGUACGGGCAGACUAGAGUGCGGUAGGGGAGAUUGGAAUUCCUGGUGUAGCGGUGGAAUGCGCAGAUAUCAGGAGGAACACCGAUGGCGAAGGCAGAUCUCUGGGCCGUAACUGACGCUGAGGAGCGAAAGCGUGGGGAGCGAACAGGAUUAGAUACCCUGGUAGUCCACGCCGUAAACGUUGGGCGCUAGAUGUAGGGACCUUUCCACGGUUUCUGUGUCGUAACUAACGCAUUAAGCGCCCCGCCUGGGGAGUACGGCCGCAAGGCUAAAACUCAAAGGAAUUGACGGGGGCCCGCACAAGCGGCGGAGCAUGCGGAUUAAUUCGAUGCGACGCGAAGAACCUUACCAAGGCUUGACAUACACCGGAAACGGCCAGAGAUGGUCGCCCCCUUGUGGUCGGUGUACAGGUGGUGCAUGGUUGUCGUCAGCUCGUGUCGUGAGAUGUUGGGUUAAGUCCCGCAACGAGCGCAACCCUCGUUCUAUGUUGCCAGCGCGUUAUGGCGGGGACUCAUAGGAGACUGCCGGGGUCAACUCGGAGGAAGGUGGGGAUGACGUCAAAUCAUCAUGCCCCUUAUGUCUUGGGCUUCACGCAUGCUACAAUGGCCGGUACAAAGGGCUGCGAUACCGUAAGGUGGAGCGAAUCCCAAAAAGCCGGUCUCAGUUCGGAUUGAGGUCUGCAACUCGACCUCAUGAAGUCGGAGUCGCUAGUAAUCGCAGAUCAGCAACGCUGCGGUGAAUACGUUCCCGGGCCUUGUACACACCGCCCGUCAAGUCAUGAAAGUCGGUAACACCCGAAGCCGGUGGCCUAACCCUUGUGGAAGGAGCC